rnacentral:rRNA from 1 species
UACGGGAGUGGCAAGCGUUAUCCGGAAUUAUUGGGCGUAAAGCGUCCGCAGGCGGUCUUGUAAGUCUGUUGUUAAAGCGUGGAGCUUAACUCCAUUUCAGCAAUGGAAACUGUAAGACUAGAGUGUGGUAGGGGCAGAGGGAAUUCCCGGUGUAGCGGUGAAAUGCGUAGAUAUCGGGAAGAACACCAGUGGCGAAGGCGCUCUGCUGGGCCAUAACUGACGCUCAUGGACGAAAGCCAGGGGAGCGAAAGGGAUUAGAUACCCCUGUAGUCCUGGCCGUAAACGAUGAACACUAGGUGUCGGGGGAAUCGACCCCCUCGGUGUCGUAGCCAACGCGUUAAGUGUUCCGCCUGGGGAGUACGCACGCAAGUGUGAAACUCAAAGGAAUUGACGGGGGCCCGCACAAGCGGUGGAGUAUGUGGUUUAAUUCGAUGCAACGCGAAGAACCUUACCAGGGUUUGACAUCCUGCGAAUCUCUUGGAAACGAGAGAGUGCCUUCGGGAACGCAGUGACAGGUGGUGCAUGGCUGUCGUCAGCUCGUGUCGUGAGAUGUUGGGUUAAGUCCCGCAACGAGCGCAACCCACGUCGUUAGUUGCCAGCAUUUAGUUGGGCACUCUAGCGAGACCGCCGGUGAUAAACCGGAGGAAGGUGUGGAUGACGUCAAGUCAUCAUGCCCCUUACAUCCUGGGCUACACACGUACUACAAUGCUACGGACAAAGGGCAGCAAACUCGCGAGAGCUAGCAAAUCCCAUAAACCGUGGCUCAGUUCAGAUCGUAGGCUGCAACUCGCCUACGUGAAGGAGGAAUCGCUAGUAAUCGCAGGUCAGCAUACUGCGGUGAAUACGUUCCCGGGCCU